UACGGAGGGGGCUAGCGUUGUUCGGAAUUACUGGGCGUAAAGCGCACGUAGGCGGCUUUGUAAGUUAGAGGUGAAAGCCCGGGGCUCAACUCCGGAAUUGCCCUUAAGACUGCAUCGCUCGAAUUGUGGAGAGGUAAGUGGAAUUCCGAGUGUAGAGGUGAAAUUCGUAGAUAUUCGGAAGAACACCAGUGGCGAAGGCGACUUACUGGACACAUAUUGACGCUGAGGUGCGAAAGCGUGGGGAGCAAACAGG
rnacentral:rRNA from 1 species